rnacentral:rRNA from 1 species
AARCCCUVUAACACKUAGCACUCAUCGKUUACGGCGUGGACUACCAGGGUAUCUAAUCCUGUUCGCUCCCCACGCUUUCGCGCCUCAGUGUCAGUUACAGACCAGAAAGUCGCCUUCGCCACUGGUGUUCCUCCACAUCUCUACGCAUUUCACCGCUACACGUGGAAUUCCACUUUCCUCUUCUGCACUCAAGUUCCCCAGUUUCCAAUGACCCUCCACGGUUGAGCCGUGGGCUUUCACAUCAGACUUAAAGAACCACCUGCGCGCGCUUUACGCCCAAUAAUUCCGGACAACGCUUGCCACCUACGUAUUACCGCGGCUGCUGGCACGUAGUUAGCCGUGGCUUUCUGGUUAGGUACCGUCAAGGUACCAGCAGUUACUCUGGUACUUGUUCUUCCCUAACAACAGAACUUUACGACCCGAAAGCCUUCAUCGUUCACGCGGCGUUGCUCCGUCAGACUUUCGUCCAUUGCGGAAGAUUCCCUACUGCUGCCUCCCGUAGGAGUCUGGGCCGUGUCUCAGUCCCAGUGUGGCCGAUCAACCCKSKSAGGUCGGCUACGCAUCGUCGCCUUGGUGGGCCAUUACCCACCAACUAGCUAAUGCGCCGCGGGCCAUCUGURAGUGAUAGCCGGAAACCAUCUUUCCAUCUUCUCUCAUGCGAGAGAAGAACGUAUCCGGUAUUAGCUCCGGUU